AGCGAAAAUCAUGGCAUCCAGUCCCAUCACCUCAUGGCAAAUAGUGCAUACUGGAGAAAUGACUGUUUCUAAAUUUAUGCCUUCUGCGAGGUGUUUUUCACAAGGAAUAAAUUAUAUUUGGAUCUACCCUUUGUAUUAAUAGAAUAUCAACUGAAAACUGGAGCAAAGCAGGAUGAACCUUCCUGUAUGUGAUAUCUUCUGAAGAAAAUAAAUACUCCUCUCUAAAAAUGUUUCUACUCUGGUAAUAUUCUGCACAUGAAAGUAUGCUUAUGUGCAGCUUGACAUUAUUAACAUGUCCAAGGCCUAGGGUAGGUGCUGUUGCUGCUGCUGUCAGUCUCUCGUUCGUGUCCAACUCUUUGUGCCCCAAGAGACUGUGGCCCGCCAGGCUCCUCUGUCCAUGGGAUUUCCCAGGCAAGAAUACUGGAGUGGGUUGCCAUUCCCUCUUCCAGGAAAUCUUGGCAGGUGGAUUCUUUACCACUAAGGCACUUGGGAAGUCCCUAGGGUAGGUAGGAGAUCACUUAUUGCUAAUCGAAAGGAACUAAAAGUGUGAGUACAUUUUGAAAAAGGAUCAUUAGCAAUGCAAAUGCAAAGCUACAUCUGAUAGACAGCAAACAAAAUGUGUUUGUGUGAUAUUUACGAUGAGAAAAUGGCUUUGCUGACUUUGAGUAGCCUCAGACCUAUUUUGUUCUGUUUAUCACUUAUCACACUUCUCACAAUAGAUUUUAUAUAGCUUUAAGUUAUGUAUUUAAAUAAUAUUUGAUAUAGCUUUAUUCUCAGAAUUUGUACCGUCAGCAAUAGUUAAGUACUCUUUUUAGUACUUUAGUAGUGCUCCAGAGAAUGUUCUUAACAGUUAGUGUCUGUAGAAUAUUUUUUUCCACUAGGAAAUGGCAGCCCACUCCAGUAUUUUUGCUUGGAAAAUUUCAUGGACAGAGGAACCUGGUGGGCUGCAGUCCAUGGGGUCACAAAGAAUUGGAUACAACUGAGCAUGGGGGUGCACACAGAUGCACACACACACCCACAUGUUUAAAUUUAGGUUUUGAAAAUACUAGUUCCAUCAUAUACAUUCACAAUUCUUAGGACUACAGAUCUUGACAAAACUGAGGGUAUUGAGUGUAUUGCACCAGGGACAACAUCCUCUCUAUAGACCGUGAGAGUCAUUUCUAGGUAUCAAGUCAGGAGGUGGAAAGAGCAGGAAAUGUGAACCUGGUAGGGUUGUCUGGGACAUGGUGGACAUUUGAGAGAUGUCUGUUUGUUGGAAAAUGCUGACUGGAAGCUGGGGAGAUUGUAUUGCUGUGCACUGACCGUUGAGUUGUCUUUGGUGAUGACUUUUGUUCUCUCUGGUUUUGUCUCAGUGAUUACCAACCCCUGGUUUAGAAUUAGUAUUGCUAUCAUAAACUCCUUAGUGUGUUUGUAAAAACUUACUGUUUCUAAAUACAUCCUGAACAGGAUAUAUUUGUAGAAUGGAUCAUUCUAGGACUUAUUUUUUAUUUUUAAAGAAGACCAUUGACAAUUCUUUUUUUUUUUAACAUUGAAAAUCAUCUCCAAUUUUUUCUUUUGCAAAUGAUGAUACUAAAUUUACUUUUAAAGUAAGGGUACGUCUGUCCUGGACAGAGACUCAAAAGUAACUAACAGUGUGAUGCAUGUCAUGCCUAAUUGCUGUUCAAAAGUGCUGUUCAAAAGUUGUCUGUAGUUUAUUUUGUUCUAGUGUGUGUGACAUGUGGCCUCUUGGCUGUGGAAAACCUAAGUACAGUAUAUUGCCUCUUUGAUCAUUGGACUGAUAUAUUUUCCCCUGUUCAACUGGGACUCUAUGUAGUUAACUUUCUGAAUGCCAUGAGAAAGGCUUUUUUUCCCCCUUCUUUAGUAAUUGAGGUAUUCCCGUGGUGUGGAGUGAAUAGAUCCCUCCAUCACAGUGUAUUAUGUAGUUUACUGUGUGGAUAAAUGUAAUGCAGUCUAUUCAAAACAAAUGUAAAAUAUACUAGGGCUUUUCCUGUAGAAGUGAAAUGUAGGUAUCUUGAUAUAACCAAUGAAGUUGGUUGUAGUUAACUGUUAUAUUAGCAAAGGUCCACCUGCUAAACUUUUGGUUCUUUGUUGAGGGAUGGAAAGUAAGUAAUAUAGAUAUGCUUGUGAGAACUGGAAUGCAGGCCAAAAGCUGGUCUGUUCCAAAUGAAUGCUACCAAGACUUAAGCGGCAUCGUGUUCAUCUGACAGACAAGCAUGGCUGGUGGUGCUUAGGUCUUGCGUGCUUUCUUACCGCACAUUCUCUUCCCCACUCAUAGCUGUCAGUCAUUUGGUGAUAAAAAUAACCAGAAUACACAUCUUUUAUAUUUUGGAGCAGAAGGAGAUAAUCCUUUUCAUCUCAGCUUUUCUCUGAUAUUUUUGCAAAGAAAUCAUGACUACCCUGCUGCCCUUGGCUUUGGCAUGCUUAUCAACAUUCCUAAUCUCAAGAGGUAUAUUUUUGUUUAUGAUUAGGUACUUGGUCUUAAGUUACAUAGCAGUCAGUGACAGAAUUAACUGGACUCUAAAGGAGUCAACAGUUCUCUCUUUGACAGUUUUUUCCAGUUUCCCCAAAGUGCUACACUUUCAGCGGUGAAGUCAUGAUGCCUUCAAUAGAGAAAGAAAUUUGGUAUUUGGGGUGAGUGGGGAAAUGAAGGGAGCUAAUUUGCACUUGAAAUACAAGGUAUCCAAACAGGAAAUGUGAGUUAGACUUAUUUUCAAAUAGUAUGUUUUACUUUCAAAUAACAUGCUCAGUAUAAUUUUCUUUAACUUUCAAGCACCUUUGCAGGUGAAGGUUCUCUAAAUUCAAAGGAAUAGAUCCAGUUCUUAAUCUAAAAGAAGUAUAGUAAACAGUGUUUCCACAAAGUCUGGACACAUAGGGAAAAUAGUGUGCUUUACUGAUUGAGUGUAUUGGAAAAUGUAGCUUACAUACCAUUUAAUUUAUUGAGAUACACACAUCAUUGUAUAUUUUCUCUUUAGGAUUUCUUUUCCUUUCAGGUUUCAGGCAUAGUAUUAAAAUAAUUGUCCAGUAAACAGAGAGACUAGGCAACUGGCAGUCACCUCCCAUCAGGGUCAAGAUCUGGGCAGCUUGAAGCCGCACCUUAAAUUCAGGAUGGUGGGAGAAUAGGGAGAGGCUGAAGAUUAGAGUAGAGGGCAGUGUGUGACUGGCUUUCUUUUCACUCUGCCAGGUGGCUUUAGUCAUAACUGAAAACUUGAUCUUGUUUUGAGAGAAUCAGGCCUGGAAGGGUUGAUAACUCUGGCACAUAACAAUACUGUUUUACCAUUUCUUAUUUUGAUCUGGUACCUAAUGAUGUGUAAGAACUUUUUCUCAUUCAUGCUAAUGCUUUUGUGGUUGGUUUAAGUAAUACAUCAUCAUAUUUAGAAAAGCAAAAAAAAAAAAAAAAAAGACCACUUCAGUGACAAACUUUUUUUUCUCAUUUUAAGGAUCAGUUUUUCAGUGGUAAAAUGUUGUUUUCCUUGCUAAACCAGAGAAUAUCUGAUCUUUAUUGAUAAAAAGUCUUCCACAUUCUGAUGAUAGUUUUUUAGAACCAGUUUUGUAGUGAGAAGUAUAUGUAGCUUUGUGAGUCUAAGCAGGGAGGAAAGAAAAUUCAGAUAGUGAGAAAGAAUACCACCACCCUCACAAAACCUUACGAACAGUUGCUUUCAUAUAGUAUAGUUGAAUCUGAAUUCCAAAGAUUAUAGGAUUUAGAAAAUGUUAAGAUUAGUAGGUGACCAGUGUGGCAGUGGUGGAUAU